AGGAAGACGAUGUUGUCCCCUUCGCUAAGCAAAGUCCCCUUGAUGUCCACACUGUACAGCCAGUAGAGCCCGUGGAUCCCGUGCCUCGCGACCGAGUUGUCCCUCCCGAUCAAUCCGGUCGAGAACACCGCGUUCGACUUCGGAUGUACCUGUAACUCGGAAAGCGUGGCAGACGCGAGCGCUAUCCGGAGCUUGUAAACACCGUUCUUGUCCACGUUCGCGAGGGCGAACUUGAUCUGCCAUGUUGUGCCCUGAUAUGUUUUAUCAACCUUCUUCCUGGAAAAGUUGAAAGAUUGAUUGAGAACGUGCAAGCUGCAGAAUUGUUUUGAAAGUGCAAUCCCUUCUUUUACACUCCAUAACAUGAUGUCCUUAAUGAGCUCUAGAAGGAGUCUAGUGACUUGUUAUUACAUUUACUAUAACAUGUAUGUCUGAUGAAUGCACAAAUUUAUUAGAAGAGGAUGUGUUACCUA